rnacentral:lncRNA from 1 species
AUUAGUACGGAAAUCGCCGCCAUUUUGUAACCUGCUGUUUUAUAACGAGGAUGUUGGUUGAUAUUUUUUUAAGAACUCGUAACCCCCUUCCUUGUGGUGAUUUUUGAAAACAAAAAAGGAACGAUACUUCAUAGGAAGACGUGAACUCCUGCUGAUGUGCCUUUUUCAUGAGAAGGGAUCAAGGAAAAGAAGCCAGUUGCUGCCUUGUGGCCAGCAACUUGGUGUUUUUACGAUGCUACCGACACCGAUGUGGUACUCGAAGUUCUGAAACCGGCAAAGAAAAAACAACUGGAACUUUGUGGUGAGCAAGAAGAUCUGCACGCUUUCAAGUGAAUGAGCCAUGCCUCUUGAAGGACAGCUUCCAUGACGACCCCUGCCAGGACGAGGAUGACUUCCCCUUUCAUAUGAUGACUUCCACUUUCAUAUGAUGGCUACCAUAUAAUGAUAUCUUCUGUUGAUGAUGUCCACCUCUGGCUACUUGUUAUUGCUGUUAUUACUCCAAAUAAAGAGAAUACUAUA